rnacentral:rRNA from 1 species
CCUGAUCCAGCGACGCCGCGUGAUCGAUGAACGCCUUCGGGUUGUAAACCUCUUUCACGGGGAUAUGAUGACAGUCCCUCAGAAAUAAGCCCCGGCUAACUCCGUGCCAGCAGCAGCGGUAAUACGUAGGGUCCAAGCGUUGUUCGGAAUUACUGGGCGUAAAGGGUGUUAGGCGGUCGUAUAGUUCUUUGGUGAAAUCUCCCGGGUUCACUGGGAAGGUGCCGUCGAAUCUGCUGGACUAGAGUACUGGUAGGGAGAGUAGAAUUCCUGGUGUAGCGGUGAAAUACAUAUAUAUCGGAAGGAAUACCAGUGGUGAAAGCGGCUUUCUGGACCGUUACUGACGCUGAAUCUCGAAAGCGUGGGGAGCAAACUGGAAUAAAUACCC